CCUACGGGCGGCAGCAGUGGGGAAUAUUGGACAAUGGGGGGAACCCUGAUCCAGCCAUGCCGCGUGUGUGAAGAAGGCCCUCGGGUUGUAAAGCACUUUCAGUGAGGAAGAACGCCUGGUGGUUAAUACCCAUCAGGAAAGACAUCACUCACAGAAGAAGCACCGGCUAACUCCGUGCCAGCAGCCGCGGUAAUACGGAGGGUGCGAGCGUUAAUCGGAAUUACUGGGCGUAAAGCGCGCGUAGGUGGCUUGAUAAGCCGGUUGUGAAAGCCCCGGGCUCGACCUGGGAACGGCAUCCGGAACUGUCAAGCUAGAGUGCAGGAGAGGAAGGUAGAAUUCCCGGUGUAGCGGUGAAAUGCGUAGAGAUCGGGAGGAAUACCAGUGGCGAAGGCGGCCUUCUGGACUGACACUGACACUGAGGUGCGAAAGCGUGGGUAGCAAACAGGAUUAGAUACCCGAGUAGUC
rnacentral:rRNA from 1 species